rnacentral:rRNA from 1 species
GAUGAACGCUGGCGGCGUGCCUAAUACAUGCAAGUCGAGCGAACAGACGAGGAGCUUGCUCCUCUGACGUUAGCGUCGGACGGGGGAGUAACACGUGGAUAACCUACCUAUAAGACUGGGAUAACUUCGGGAAACCGGAGCUAAUACCGGAUAAUAUAUUAAACCGCAUGGUUCAAUAGUGAAAGACGGUUUUGCUGUCACUUAUAGAUGGAUCCGCGCCGCAUUAGCUAGUUGGUAAGGUAACGGCUUACCAAGGCAACGAUGCGUAGCCGACCUGAGAGGGUGAUCGGCCACACUGGAACUGAGACACGGUCCAGACUCCUACGGGAGGCAGCAGUAGGGAAUCUUCCGCAAUGGGCGAAAGCCUGACGGAGCAACGCCGCGGGAGUGAUGAAGGUCUUCGGAUCGUAAAACUCUGUUAUUAGGGAAGAACAAAUGUGUAAGUAACUAUGCACGUCUUGACGGUACCUAAUCAGAAAGCCACGGCUAACUACGUG